GUUACCUUCUCAUCUGUAACUAGGAGGCAGGGAAGAAGGCAAUGCAGUCCUCCUUUAGAGACUCAAACUGUGUCCCCAGCCCUCCCCAUCUCCUCCCACACCCCCCUCCAAACUCAGCUUGGCUGGGAAAGGAAACUCCCCAGUCUGCUGUGCUCCUGCAAGCUGAGUGUUUGCAGGGCAGCCGUCAGUGUAUGUGUUUUGUUUCUGAUGCUAAGGCCCUUUCUGAACCGGAUCUCCAUCCCUUCACUGAGCAGGGCUCACACAUAUUUAUGUUGGAGUGCAAAGGCUUCUGAUGCCCAGACAUGUGUCCCCCAAUCUGAGAAGGGAGCCAGGAAAGGGGCUGGAGUUGAUGCAUCUUGACUUAAGGGCUGAAGAGUUGGCAAUUUUGGAGGCCAGUGAAGAGCCACGUAGAAAAUGUCCCACUGCCUGCCAUCACCAGUAGCUCCUCUUGCUCCCGUCCUGCAGAGAGAGCUCCCACACAGGUCGCAGACACAGGGUCCUCUUUAAAAUGAAGAUGAAAUGCACCUGGUUCUACCACCUAGUUAGAAGCAGUUAUGAAGGUUGAAGAGCUGUUAUCUGAGAUUUAUAGCCCCAAAUCUGUGAGAUAGACUCUCCUAAUUAAUAAGACAAGGAAGACUAGAAAGUUGCAAAAACUACCUGGCAGGGCUUGGAGCCUGCUGUCACCACCACGAUGAUAGCACUGUCUUCACUGCUGAGCCUAUUAGAAUGUCAGGAUGUGCAUUCUCCUCUCCUAGUGGGAUGGCAGGGUUCACUGGCUAUUACGGAGAAGCAAGUGCAGAUCGUGACUUAAGGCUCCGGGAGGAGAGUUAAUCAGGGAAGAGCUGGUUGACAAGACUCACUCAGCACAGGACUUGAGAACACCAGGAGGCGGAAAGGGAGAAGAAAGAACCUCUUCCAAAGGCAGCAUCCACACCCUUGACAAAGGGCCAUUUCCCCCAGCCUGGGUUGCUUUCUGACUUCCUUUGAUCCCCACUGAGCAUUUGCUUCCUUGUCUCCAGCCUUCACCUGAUAAGUUCAAUUCGACAUCCUCUCUCUCUUCUCCCAAUGUCCUCUCCUUAAUUUCACUGCAUCCUCCAAUGUGAAUGUUUGCCUCCCAGUCUGGGAUCUGUCUUAUUCCCUUUAUCUCACCUGAAAAAGCUUUCUCCUUUAAUCUCUGCUCAUUCAAGUCCCACCCAUCCUUCAAAGUAUGGCCAAGCUCACCUCUUCCAGAAAAGCCUCACCCUGUGGUGUUAUCUCCAUCUGGAAUCACAGCAGCACUUACUGUGAGAUAACUAUCCACUUACAUCUAACAGAGUUCACUGCACUCUCCCCAAAUGAAGUGGACACCUGUAGGCAGUAAGAAGAGAAUCUUUUUGACCCAGUGGUGCAUUCAAUGCAAUGCAAGGAAAGACCGUGAUAAUACUGAAAAUGAGUACUACCCGGCCCCAGGAGGUGUACGCCAUCCUUGCUUGAUGCCAGUUCACAAAGAGAGCUCUUGUUUAUUGAGAGCUUAUAGUGCCGAGGAAUUCACAUAAUUCAUCUCAUCUAAAUUCUCCAACAUUCAUGAGAUGGUUUCUCUUAUUUCCUCCUUUUACGCAUGAAGAAACUGAGGCUCAGGAGGUUAGAUGACUUGUUCAGAGUCACACAGAUAGUACGAGGCUGACCCAGAAUUCAACCCCAGGUCUGGCUGACUCCAGCACCCGCCCUUUCCCUCCACGACCAAGCACAAGAAGCAGGCUGGCACUGGCCUUUCGCUGCUAUGACUGCCAAGCUGGGUUACACCUGCUGCUGGUCCCCAGCACCAGGCACACGAUGCAACUGUGAGUCCUCUGGAGUCUGUGAGGGAGCUGGCACUCGCCUUCUGCCUGAAGCAAAGGAGCUGUGCUCUUCAGUUUCAGCGUGAAAAAGCCUCAGAAGAUGCCCAGCUUAGAUGGACACAGGAGACAGUCUAUGGACAUCGUCUCCACUUCCUGGCUUCCUCAGCACUGUUGCUAGUGAAGCUACUCUGCCCAAGGUCUCCAGUAAACUGAAAGAAGUCAGGACUUACGCAUACAGAUGAAUACGCCCCGUGGGUAUUCACUGGGUCCUCUUGGGAAGCCAGCUCUGUGUCCCAGGCACACCGUCUGUGUGCAAGAGUAGGGGAACACCUGAGUUUGGGAAUUGCUUUCGUAUCAGCUUACAGGCCACUCCAAGAGCCGGCCUCCUGGCUUCAUAGUCACAGACCACCUGCAGGGUUGACUUAUGCAUCCUUUUGCAGGAGACAGGCUCACUUCUCUCCUGUGACUAACAUGGAAUUACGGGUUAAGGAGGGAAGUCGUACUCACCUGUUGAUUCAUUUAUUCACUCACUUGCUCACUCAUCAAUCAUUUCUUCAACAAUGAAACCCUUACUAGACAAAUACUGACUCCCUGCUCCAGAAUAACGAUCUGUUCGGUGCUAGGACUGUCAAAUGAGUAAGCGUUUCUUCCCACAGGCGUUCAGGGUCUAUUUCUGCACUUUACAGACAGGCAAGACAGAAGUGAUCGGAAGCGGCCACCAACCAUGGAGUUCAGAAACACGGCACAUUUCUGGAAGAGGCAAAAGGCAACUCUUCCAUCCACAUUGGUCAAGAGGAAAUUCAACACAGCUCACAGCCAUUGAAUCUGACCCGGCAGCGUGUGAUACAUCCCAUCGUCUUGUCAGUUAGCAGCUGUGGGACCUUGAGAGCUUCUUAAAUUCCCGAGUCUAGACUUUCUUAUCUUUAAAAUGCAGCUGAAAACAAUGUCUGUCUCAUGCAGGUGUGGGCUAAAAGGAAUCGUAUAUAAAGCAUUCAGCACGUGUCAAGUCCAGGUCAAGGCCGGCGUGCAGAGGCAGGGAGAGGUGUAACCUCUUUCAGUUUGGAGCCACGCAGUACCCUGCCAUUUGCAGCCCUUCGGGGUAAGGCUGUAGCCCCCAAACAGCCUGCUGCCCCAGAGCAGUGGCCCAGCAGGUGCGCUGACAGCUCUGGUGCACGUGGCAUGCCCCUACUCCUCACACGGAAGCAACAGGGACACUGACAGGGACCUGAGAUGGGGUGGCCCACCUGGCUGGCAGCUGGCAACUGGGCACAUUGCCCAGAAGGUGGGGAGUUCUCAGUUAGGGGCAGAGGUGGGUGGUUGAGAGAGUAGUUAGCAGCACUGUCUACUGUGGCAGGGAUCUCCUGGGUAAGGUCAGAGGGAUUUGAGGAGGCCCAGGUGUCACCCCAGGGUGGGGCAGGACGCUGCUCAAGUCAGAAAAUGAAGUUGCAGGAUGUAGGGGAGGGGGUGGGACUGUUAGUCUAAUUGUGACUCAUCUCUCCUUAUUUUUCUCCUUAUCGCUUGUAUUUAAUUUUUUUUAAUCCUCCCAAGUUACUGGGCCUUGAGGACAUUCCUAGUGUGUGUGUGUGUGUGUGUGUGUGUGUGUGUGUGUAUUUCUAUAUAUAUAAUUUUUUUUUGAGACAGAGUUUCGCUCUUGUUGCUCAGGUGGAGUGCAAUGGAGCGAUCUCGGCUCACUACAACCUGCACCUCCCGGGAUCGCUUGAGCCCAGGAGGUCGAGGCUGCAGUGAGCCAUGAUCACAUUUGCCAGCCUUGGUGACAGAGCAAGACCAUCUCAAAGUAUGUAUUUACCAAAUGAAGUUUUAUGAUGUUCUCUAGCACUUUUUAGUUUAUUCUCUUUAAAAAGAAACCCUCUGAAGUAUCUCUGGAGAAGACAAAUGCAUGUGUGCGCGCACACACUCUGGGAACAGGAGCUGCUUCGGUAGAUAACUGAGUGGGAGGAGGUUAAUUUUUCACUGUGACCCUUAUCUGUACACCUGCUAACUCAAAAUAAUUUAAUAACAACAACAAUGACAAUAAAAGGGGAGUGAGUGCUCUCAUUUU